rnacentral:rRNA from 1 species
UACGGAGGGUGCGAGCGUUAAUCGGAAUCACUGGGCGUAAAGCGCGCGUAGGCGGCUUGUUAAGUCAGAUGUGAAAGCCCCGGGCUCAACCUGGGAAUUGCAUUUGAAACUGGCAGGCUAGAGUGCAGUAGAGGAAGGUGGAAUUCAGGGUGUAGCGGUGAAAUGCGUAGAUAUCCUGAGGAACACCGGUGGCGAAGGCGGCCUUCUGGACUGACACUGACGCUGAGGUGCGAAAGCGUGGGGAGCAAACAGG